GACGAACGCUGGCGGCGUGCUUAACACAUGCAAGUCGAACGGAAAGGCCCUGCUUUUGUGGGGUGCUCGAGUGGCGAACGGGUGAGUAACACGUGAGUAACCUGCCCUUGACUUUGGGAUAACUUCAGGAAACUGGGGCUAAUACCGGAUAGGAGCUCCUGCUGCAUGGUGGGGGUUGGAAAGUUUCGGCGGUUGGGGAUGGAUGCGCGGCUUAUCAGCUUGUUGGUGGGGUAGUGGCUUACCAAGGCUUUGACGGGUAGCCGGCCUGGGAGGGUGACCGGCCACAUUGGGACUGGGGUACGGCCCAGGCUCCUACGGGAGGCAGCAGUGGGGAAUAUUGCACAAUGGGCGGAAGCCUGAUGCAGCAACGCCGCGUGCGGGAUGACGGCCUUCGGGUUGUAAACCGCCUUCGCCUGUGACGAAGCGUGAGUGACGGUAAUGGGUAAAGAAGCACCGGCUAACUACGU
rnacentral:rRNA from 1 species